AUUUUCUUUGGAUAGACGGCCGUACAUAUAGCGGAAAUCGGUGCGGAUAUAUGCUUACCAUUAAUUUAUCGCCAGCCACCAGGGGCAAAUUUCUGCGACCAACGUAACCGGAGUCGUCGUCGUCCGUGUUGUAGACCUUUAAAAUAUUGUAAGAAUAAUGUAUUCUUUGCUGAAUGCUGAUAAAGAAAACCUAAAACUGGUGACUGUGUAACUAGCGGAGGCAAAGUACAUUUACCUUGGAUAGGCCUGUCUGGCAGCACACUAUCGCUACGCUACUAUCGCUACGCUACUAUCGCUACCACAAACAUAUCGAGAUCAGAAGAACCAAUUUUUGCUGAAUGUUUAGUUUUUAAAUAUUAUUAAGAAAAAAUAAAUAAGAACCUGAGAAAAACAGUGGUGACAACUCUUACAAAUCUUUCAAAGAAAUAAGAUAAGCAUGCAU
ensembl:ncRNA asRNA:CR44093 antisense RNA:CR44093